ensembl:lncRNA
UGUUGGGGCUGAUCACAAUGGCUCUGAUGGACCCGCCCCUGGAAUUCAUCCUCUGUCUGGGCCCCGCCCACUCUGGCCACGUGACUCACUUCAACCAAUACAGCAGCGCACAAGGGAUGCUGCGCCAAUUCUGGGGCUAAGCCUUCCUUAAAGGUGUUUUUGCACUUUGGGGAACCCUGAGCUGCCAUGUUAAAAGUCCAGCUACCUGGAGAGAUGCCAUGAAGAGGUCACGUUGAGCGGGAGAAGCCCUGAGGCUACACAGGGAGAGAAGGAGAGACAGACGGACAGAGAGAGAAGAGAGGCAGGGAGCCCCCGCGGAGCCCUCUCCAUCACUCCAGUUGUCCCAGCCUUGGGACAGGGGUUGCUGACCCAGAGCCUCCGUUCUGAAUGACCUGAAGCUCACGAUACACAAAUUCCCACUCGACGAGCGUCUUUUCUGCAGAGAGAGGGUACUGAAGGUCAGCGGCUGCAGUAGCACGUGACUCAUCCUUAUAGAGGGAGAUGUGUGCUCAGCCGCUCAGUCAUGUCCGACUCUGGACCCCACAGACUGCAGCCCGCCAGGCUCCUCUGUCUCCAGGAUUUUUCAGAGCACAGACUCCAGGUUCUAGGGCUCAGGAGCCGUGGCACGCAGGCUUUAGUUGCUCCCCAGCGUGUGGAAUCCUCCUGACCCAGGGAUCGAACCUGUGUCCCCUGCACCGGUAGGGGAGCCACUGUACCACCAGAGUUUGGAUCCAGUCAUUCUGACAAAAUCCUUUUGUCAUCGCACAAAGCCUGGGAUUAAAGACUCCAUCCGCGGAUUAUUUUCUACAUAUGGCUGCACUGGAUUAUGGUGCCAGAGAGGGAGAAACAACAGCCCCACGCUUGUCUGCAAAGUGCGGGCAGCCCUCCCCAUGGCUCCUCUGCUCGUCCUGCCCUGGCCGUGGCCAUGCCUGCCUGCCCUUGAGGAAGGAGGACCAAGGCACUAAGGUGUUCUCAGUGGGGCUGAGUGCCUCUGUCAGCUCAGGGCAACACAAGACCCUCAAACUCGGGGGCUCAAAUCAGCUGCUCCUUUGUCCUACGGCUCAGCUGGGUGGUUCUCCAGUCUUGGGGUCUUCUCACUCGUUGGUGGGAAGCCCCGGGAGUACGCAGCUUUGCUGGCUCUGUCUGUCUCUCCCCCAACUCUUGGGCCUAGACUGGACUGACUGGGCUGACUCCCUGACUCUCCACGUGCUUAGCCCAGGCAGGCUGGCCUGGACUUCGUCCUGGGAGUGGCAGGGUGCCACCACCCCCUCCCUGUCUGGUUCUUUGCAAAGCAGCUAUGAAGAAUUUUAGAGGCAGGUACCACAGGGGCCUGUGAGUCAAUUCUUAGAAUAGGACGUGAUCAUCUCUUCUGGGAAGAAGGGUUUGCAGCCACUGCUGAUUCCUGACUGAGUCAUGGGUGCCUUUAUCAGGAGGCGGGAGAGCACGGCUUAGGUGCCUGUGAGCUGGGUGUGUGCGUCUGCUUCUUAACCUUCACCAUUCACAGCCCUGUGCUCACUGCACCCUCUGGAUGAGCCAGUGGGCUGGGAAGGAAGCUUGGAGCCAACGUGACUAACAAUUUCUAAAUUCUCUAGGUGGCAAUUAUAGGGAAUAAAG